rnacentral:rRNA from 1 species
UACGUAGGCAGCGAGCGUUGUUCGGAGUUACUGGGCGUAAAGAGUGCGUAGGCGGUUUUCUAAGUUUGGUGUGAAAUCUCCCGGCUCAACUGGGAGGGUGCGCCGAAGACUGGAAGGCUUGAGUAUGGGAGAGGUAAGCGGAAUUCCCGGUGUAGCGGUGAAAUGCGCAGAUAUCGGGAGGAACACCUAUGGCGAAGGCAGCUCGCUGGGACGUUACUGACGCUGAGACGCGAAAGCGUGGGGAGCAAACAGG